GAUCAUGGCUCAGGACGAACGCUGGCGGCGUGCCUAACACAUGCAAGUCGAACGGGGAUCAUGAAGCGGAAGUUUUCGGAUGGAAGGUUCAUGAUUCUAGUGGCGCACGGGUGAGUAACGCGUGAACAACCUGCCUUUCAGUGGGGGAUAACACCUGGAAACAAGUGCUAAAUACCGCAUGAGACCACGACCUGGCAGUCGGGAGUGGGGUACAAAGUAUUUAUCGCUAGAAAGGAGGGGUUCGCGU
rnacentral:rRNA from 1 species